rnacentral:rRNA from 1 species
AGAGUUUGAUCAUGGCUCAGAAUGAACGCUGGCGGCGUGCUUAACACAUGCAAGUCGCACGAGAAUUCUUCUGCUUGCAGAAGAUAGUAAAGUGGCGCACGGGUGAGUAAUGCGUGGGCAAUCUUCCCUUGAAUCGGGGAUAACAUCGCGAAAGCUUUGCUAAUACCGGAUGACAUCCAUUUGUCUGCGGGCGAAUGGAUCAAAGGUGGCCUCUACAUGUAAGCUACUGUUUGAGGAUGAGCCUGCGUACCAUUAGCUAGUUGGUGGGGUAACGGCCCACCAAGGCGACGAUGGUUAGCUGGUCUGAGAGGAUGAUCAGCCACACUGGAACUGACACACGGUCCAGACUCCUACGGGAGGCAGCAGUGAGGAAUUUUGCGCAAUGGGGGAAACCCUGACGCAGCAACGCCGCGUGAGUGAUGAAGGCCUUCGGGUCGUAAAGCUCUGUCAAGUGGGAAGAACCUGCAGAAAGCUAACAUCUUUUUGCACUGACGGUACCACUGAAGGAAGCACCGGCUAACUCCGUGCCAGCAGCCGCGGUAAUACGGAGGGUGCAAGCGUUAUUCGGAAUUAUUGGGCGUAAAGGGCGCGUAGGCGGCCGUUUAAGUCAGGUGUGAAAGCCCGGGGCUUAACCCCGGAAGUGCAUUUGAUACUGAGCGGCUUGAGUAUGGGAGAGGGAAGUGGAAUUCCUGGUGUAGAGGUGAAAUUCGUAGAUAUCAGGAGGAACACCGGUGGCGAAGGCGACUUCCUGGACCAAUACUGACGCUGAGGCGCGAAGGCGUGGGGAUCAAACAGGAUUAGAUACCCUGGUAGUCCACGCAGUAAACGGUGAUCACUAGGUGUAGCGGGUAUUGACCCCUGCUGUGCCGCAGCUAACGCAUUAAGUGAUCCGCCUGGGGAGUACGAUCGCAAGGUUAAAACUCAAAUGAAUUGACGG